rnacentral:lncRNA from 9 species
AUGUCCCCCAAGGAGGCCAGAGAUGUGAUUGUGAGGACUGGCCGCCACACCUCGGAGGAGAAGCCCAGGGGUGACCACUCCCUGGGAGACACGCUGGGCCCAACAUGGGCGAGACCGGCAGCUGGGGGAGGGGUGCCCAUGACUUGGGGACACGGCGGAGGCCAAUCCCAGGCAACACAAGAGGCCCCACAGCCCUGGACGGGCUAUGCCGGAACCUCAGUCUCCCCACCAAUUAACUACUGGGCAGGACAGACCCUCCCGCGCAUCCGGAGCGUCCCGGCGAAGGUCAGGAAGAUAAACGCAACACGCCUCUUCGCAGGGUCAAACCGCGCGUCCUGCCCCUGGUGACCAAACCCAGCCGUGCCCCCGGAUUGUCUGCUUACUCUUCCUGGCCCUUUAGAAACACGUGAACUGGAGUUCCCGUCGUGGCGCAGUGGUUAACGAAUCCGACUAGGAACCAUGAGGUUGCAGGUUCAGUCCCUGCCCUUGCUCAGUGGGUUAACGAUCCGGCGUUGCCGUGAGCUGUGGUGUAGGUUGCAGACGCGGCUCGGAUCCCGCGUUGCUGUGGCUCUGGCGUAGGCCGGUGCCUACAGCUCCGAUUCGACCGCUAGCCUGGGAACCUCCAUAUGCCGUGGGAAGCGGCCCUUGAAAAGGCCAAAGGACAAAAAAUAAAUAAACAAAUUAGAAACACGUGAACUGCUCUCUUCAUUUGCUUCAAGUUCAUCCCUAUUCCACCCACAGGGUGUUGAGAGCCCCCCAGAUCCUCAGGAUCUGAGACAGGAGUCUUUGCCAAACAUAGCAAUUAGGAUGAAAGUUGACCACAGGGAAUUUUCCUAUCAUGUAAAAGAAGUCCAAGGAUAUGCAGGCCAAGGCUCCAAGGAGCCAGCAGAAUCCCAGCCUCCUGCCAGCUUACUGAUUCACCACCCCCUGGGUGUGGCUCGCAUCCUCAUAGCCUAAGGUGGCUGCAGGAGUUCCAGCUCUCACAUCCUGGUUCCAAGUAGCCAGGUUAGAGGAAGGGAGGAAGGGAGUUGUGCCUGCUGCCUUUAAAGGACACUUCUCAGGAGACCACUCUACUUAGUAGGAGAUAAUGGCAGUAGUGACCCCCACUUGGUUCAUCCUUCCCUAUAUGCAUGACAAUUUGACUUUGUCACUCCUUCCAUCAAGAGAGGAAGUCUAUUUCGCCACUUUUUAUUUUUUUUUUUUUUUUUUUUGGCCGCACCUGCAGCAUCUGGAAGUUCCCAGGCCAGGCAGGGAUGGAAUCCAAGCCUCAGCUGCAACCUACACCACAGCUGCAGGAACACCAGACCCUUAACCCACUGUACCACUAUGCAAACUCCUCUUUCUCCAGUCUUGAACUUGCUCUGUCUGAAAGGGCAAGGGCAAAAAUGCAAGCAGAGGCUUAAAAAUACUCGUGCCCCUGGCUUGUUCCCUUGGUGCUGGAAACUCUCUGCCACCUUGAACAGGCCCAGGACAGCCUUCUGGGUGGGGAGGGCGCUUGGACAGAAGCAUCUGUCAUCCUCGGCAUUCUUGCCACUGCAGCUGACACCUCUAACAUGGGAGCAGGCCAUCCUAGUUCCCCCAGGACCAGCCAGGCCAGCCCAGGUCAGAAAAGGGGCCCAGCCAACCCACAGAAUCAUGAGAAAUAAUAAAUCCUUGCUGUCUUAAGUUUUGG